rnacentral:rRNA from 1 species
AUUGAACGCUGGCGGCAGGCCUAACACAUGCAAGUCGAACGAGGGGCGGACGGGUGAGUAAUGUAUGGGAAUCUGCCCGAUGGAGGGGGAUAACUACUGGAAACGGUGGCUAAUACCGCCUACUAUCAGAUGGGCCCAGAUGGGAUUAGCUAGUAGGUGGGGUAACGGCUCACCUAGGAGACGAUCCCUAGCUGGGCUGAGAGGAUGACCAGCCACACUGGAACUGAUACAAGGCCCAGACUCCUACGUGAGGCAGCAGUGGGGAAGAUUGCACAAUGGGCGCAAGCCUGAUGCAGCCAUGCCGCUUGUGUGAAGAAGGCCUUAGGGUUGUAAAGUACUUUCAGCGGGGAGGCGUUACCCGCAGAAGAAGCACCGGCUAACUCCGUGCCAGCAGCCGCGGUAAUUC